UCUCUGACCUGUAGUGUCUCUGUGUCUGC
rnacentral:piRNA from 1 species